rnacentral:tRNA from 1 species
GGGCCUGUAGCUCAAUGGCAGAGCAUCCGGCUCAUAACCGGCUGGUUCUGGGUUCGAAUCCCGGCAGGCCCACCA